CAACGAAUAUUCCGCAAUGGACGAAAGUCUGACGGAGCGACGCCGCGUGCAGGAUGAAGUCCUUCGGGAUGUAAACUGCUGUCAGGGGUGAGGAAUAAGUUGACCAACCCCAGAGGAAGCAUCGGCUAACUCCGUGCCAGCAGCCGCGGUAAAACGGAGGGUGCAAGCGUUGUUCGGAAUUACUGGGCGUAAAGCGCGUGCAGGUGGUUUUCAAGUUUCGUGUGAAAGCCCACGGCUCAACCGUGGAACGGCACGGAAAACUGGAAGACUUGAAUACGGGAGAAGAGGGCGGAAUUCCCAGUGUAGAGGUGAAAUUCGUAGAUAUUGGGAGGAACACCGGUGGCGAAAGCGGCUCUCUAGACCGAUAUUGACGCUCAUACGCGAGAGCGUGGGUAGCAAACAGGAUUAGAUACCCUCGUAGUCCCUGAGCGGGCUGGCAAGGCGCAU
rnacentral:rRNA from 1 species